GAUGAACGCUGGCGGCGUGCCUAAUACAUGCAAGUCGAGCGAACGGACGAGAAGCUUGCUUCACUGAUGUUAGCGGCGGACGGGUGAGUAACACGUGAAUAACCUACCUAUAAGACUGGGAUAACUUCGGGAAACCGUAGCUAAUACCGGAUAAUAUUUUGAACCGCAUGGUUCAAAAGUGAAAGACGGUCUUGCUGUCACUUAUAGAUGGAUCCGCGCUGCAUUAGCUAGUUGGUAAGGUAACGGCUUACCAAGGCAACGAUGCAUAGCCGACCUGAGAGGGUGAUCGGCCACACUGGAACUGAGACACGGUCCAGACUCCUACGGGAGGCAGCAGUAGGGAAUCUUCCGCAAUGGGCGAAAGCCUGACGGAGCAACGCCGCGUGAGUGAUGAAGGGCUUCGGAUCGUAAAACUCUGUUAUUAGUGAAGAACAUAUGUGUAAGUAACUGUGCACAUCUUGACGGUACCUAAUCAGAAAGCCACGGCUAACUACGUG
rnacentral:rRNA from 1 species